GUAGGUGGCAAGCGUUAUCCGGAUUUACUGGGCGUAAAGGGUGUGCAGGCGGGACUGCAAGUGGUGUAUGUAAUCUCCCAGCUUAACUGGGAUAGGUUAUGCCAGACUGCAGUUCUAGAGGACGAGAGAGGGGGGUGGAAUUCCGGGUGUAGUGGUGAAAUGCGUAGAGAUCCGGAGGAACCCCAGAGGCGAAGGCGGCCCCCUGGCUCGUAUCUGACGCUCAGCCACGAAAGCAUGGGGAGCGA
rnacentral:rRNA from 1 species